rnacentral:rRNA from 1 species
GUAUCCUGGCUCAGGAUGAACGCUAGCUACAGGCUUAACACAUGCAAGUCGAGGGGCAGCAUGGUCUUAGCUUGCUAAGGCCGAUGGCGACCGGCGCACGGGUGAGUAACACGUAUCCAACCUGCCGUCUACUCUUGGACAGCCUUCUGAAAGGAAGAUUAAUACAAGAUGGCAUCAUGAGUUCACAUGUUCACGUGAUUAAAGGUAUUCCGGUAGACGAUGGGGAUGCG